rnacentral:rRNA from 1 species
UACGUAUGGAGCAAGCGUUAUCCGGAUUUACUGGGUGUAAAGGGAGCGUAGGCGGUAAGACAAGUCUGAUGUGAAAACCCAGGGCUCAACCCUGGGACUGCAUUGGAAACUGUUUAACUAGAGUGUCGGAGAGGUAAGUGGAAUUCCUAGUGUAGCGGUGAAAUGCGUAGAUAUUAGGAAGAACACCAGUGGCGAAGGCGGCUCACUGGCCCGGUACUGACGCUGAGGCGCGAAAGCGUGGGGAGCAAACAGG